UCCCUUUUGUUCGCCGUGGUUGAGGGAAAGAGAGAGAGAGCAGGGAUUUUGUGGCGUCACUUCCGGGGAAGGGUAGGAUAGGGGCGAAAAAGGGAUCUGGGAGUUCGUCGGAAUGGAAACUGGUUUUUGGAGUCUUGAAAUAAUACAAAAUAACGUGUGCUGAUCUUGGAAUAUUUAAACGGUGUUUGUGUGAGUUUAUAACAGGCCUGGGCAAACUUGGCCCCUCUAGGUGGGCUGUCGGGAAUUUUGGGAGUUGAAGUUCAAAACACCUGGAGGGGCCAAGUUUGACCAGGCCUGAUUUGUAAUAUAUGUCAUGGUUUUAUUAUUAUAUAUUGCUAUAAUUUUCUCUAUUUAUUAUACUUCUACCCAGGGCCGUAGCCAGAAAAAAAAUUCGGAGGGGUUUUUGAAAAUUUGGGGGGGGGGGGGGGGGGAUUGAACCCCUAACCCCCCCCCCCCCCCCUCCGCUACAGACCUGUCAAUAUCUGCUUGAGAUAGUGCCUGGAGGGACUCUUAAUUUUUUGAGUCUCAUAGACUUAGCAUGGGGAUUUGGUUAACCAGUUAAAAAUCAUGAGUAAACCAGAUUUUUUUUUAACCUGAAAAUUUUCGGGGAUGGUUUGAAACCCCCCCCCCCCCCCCCAAACCCGGCUACAGGCUUGCUUCUACCUUGCUCUUCUCACCCCGAAGGGGACUCAGAGCAGCUUACAGUUUGGCCACUUACGUGCCACAUUGCAAAUACAAGGAGUAGAAUAAAUAUAAUACAAUAGGAAUCAAAGCACAUUUAACAUAAAAUGCAGGACAAAAAUCUUGCAAAGCAGAAUAAUGACCAGAAAUAAGAUAUAAAUAAAUCUUAAGCAUUAGAAACAUUUAUAUUAUGGAUUGAUGAUAAUAAAUGGAAGCUCUUACGUGUGCCCACGGCCCAGAAUCACCUGCAGAACAAGAACAUGCCACUCAGGUUUGCAGAACAAAAACACAGAAACUUUACAGAUUCCAAGAGCUCAAAAAACAGUAGUAUUUACAAUGAUCCCUUUGAUUACUUACAGAAGUCUACAGUCAUAGUCCUUUCUCAGUCCACAAAUCUGCUUCAGAGAUGAAUACAGUACUGGUUCUCCUUAUUUUUUUCAGCAGCAAACAGGCAUCAAAAUAGCAAGGCCUCUGAGUACACUCCUAUCUUCACUAGCAGCACUGAAAACUUUUCCAAACUGGUUCUGCAGCAGCAGAACAGAAACAGCAUCAAAUCAAUCAUUUUCCAGUUAACAUACACAGCACAGUGCUUUUUGCAAAUCAUGACAAAAGAGACAAAGCGGUUUACAGUUUGGCCACUUCAGUGCCACACUGCAAAUACACAGCAUAUAAUAAAUAUAAUACAACACAAAUCUAUGCGUAUUUAACAUAAAAUUCAAGAUAAAAAUCACACAAAGCAUAAUCACAUCCAGAAAUAAGAUAUAAAUAAAUCUUAAGCAUUAAAAAACAUUUAAAACCAAUUUCAAUUAUUGUGGAGACUCAUCAAUUAAACAGUAUAUUUUGCUUAAGCCCAGUCAUCAGUGAUAAACAGGAGCCAGAGAGAAAAUUAAGAGAAGUCUCAACAAAAUAAAUAAACAAAUUCUGAAACAAAACAAUAACAAAAGUCCCCACUAAAACCCAGAAGGAACAGAGUUGAAAGUUGAGCAUUAACAGAGAAGUCAGUGGCCCCAAACCAAGCCAACUCCAGUUUCAGUACUAAGUUGAUGGUCGGGGGGGGGGGGGGUAGUAGCUAGCAACGAGGUUAUGGCAGAGUAAUGGGAAAUGAUGGGGAAGGUAGGGCGGCUCUGUUGCACCAACCUCUCCAGUCAGUGCUGGGCAGUGGGAGGGAAGGCCGUGUGGAGCGCAGCUCAGGGAAGCCGCCAAUUGGGUCGCAGGACUCGUUGCUCUCACCGGUGGUCGGGUCUGUGUGAGACCACAGUGCUGGGCAGCUGAUGGAAAAGGCCGCUCCGGAGCAGUUAAAGAUGACUGGAGGGUCUCCCAGAGGCUGUUGGAGAGUUCCUGAUUGAUAGACUGACUCCCUCCCAGUCAGCGGCCAGUGGAAUGGCAGUUAAAGAUGGUUUUACUGAAAGAGGAGGAGGAGGGAGAAGAUGGGGGCCGCCUCGCCUGAGGCCUGGUCUGUGUUUGUGAGGCGGGAAGGCGUCGGAUGGUGCAGAGAACGGAGAGACUGAGAGAGAUAGAGAUAUCUGUGUCCCAAAUAUAUCUGUUCAGUGCCUUCUGAGUUGCUCCGUCUUCUGAGUGCCCAGGGGGAAGACUGUCAUCCGGUCUCAGCCAUGGAUUGAAGUUUUGGGUUUUGUCCUGCCACUUUUGGACUCUGGCUUGCUGAGGUGUUCUUGACAUGAGAGAUCUCUGGAGCCACCCCUGCCCUGAUGGGAAACGAACCAGAUUCUAGUAGAUAUUAAGGCAUUUGGAAACCAAAGUACAGUAAGAAAACCAGUCCUCUAGGAAAAAGGAUUCCUCUCAAGGGGCUGAUCUUGCUGAAUUCCUACAUUAACUUUGGAUUGUAGAGUAGAACCAUAGAGUCGGAAGAGACUGCAUGAGGCACCCAUUCCAGGCCUCUGCCGUGCAGGAAAAGUGCAAAGUACCCCUGACAAAUGAACAUCUACCCUCUGUUUAAAAGAUCCCAAAGGAGCCUCCACUACAUUUUGAGGCAGAGAGUUCCACUGCUGAACAGCUCUUACAGUCAGGAAGUUCUUCUUAAUGUUCUGAUGGAAGCUACUUUCCGGUAAUUUGAACCCACUGCUGUGAGUAAUCAGAAAGGAAAAACCAGAAUCAAGUAUCCGUAUUGGAAUUAAAUGUACAUAACAUUGUGGACAUGGAGGAGAAAGCAUAUAAAUGUAUUGAAUGUGGAAAGAGCUUUAGUCAGCAUGGAAACCUGAAGACACAUCAAAGGACUCACACUGGGGAGAAACCCUACCUAUGCCUGGAGUGUGGACAGGGCUUCGCUCGUAGUUCACAUCUAAAAACCCAUCAAAGGACUCACAUUGGGGAGAAACCCUAUAACUGCCUGGAGUGUGGACAGAGCUUCACUCAAAGUUCAGCUCUGCGUAAACAUCAAAGGACUCACACUGGGGAGAAACCCUAUAAAUGCCUGGAGUGUGGACAGAGCUUUACUCAGAGUGGAACUCUAUACUCACAUCAAAGAACUCACACUGGGGAGAAACCCUAUACAUGCCUGGAGUGUGGACAAAGCUUUGCUCAAAGUGGAAACCUAAGUUCACAUCAAAGGAGACCCCAUAAAUGCCUGGAGUGUGGAAUGAACUUCACUAAUAAUAGAAAUCUACGUUUACAUCAAAGAACUCAUACUGCAGAGAAACCCUAUGAAUGCCUGGAAUGUGGCCAGAGCUUUGCUUGUCGUGGAAAUCUACAUUCACAUCAAAGGACUCACACUGGGGAGAAACCAUAGAAAUGCAUGGAGUGUGGACAGAGCUUUUCACGGAAUAACAUUAUACAUAGACAUAAUAGAAUUCACCCUGAAGAGAAUGGUGUUAAUUGACACCAGAGUGUCAUUCUAACAUGUACAAAAGCAACUCUUGCAAAUUAUGGAAAUGCAAGCUCAAAGUUGGGACAUUUCAUCACAUGUGGUGUAUUGUAGAAAGAUUGAACUAAAAUACAUUCCAUUCUGGAAGUAAUUAAGGUUAAAUGAAACUAGAGUUUUACAUGUUGAGAAUGUUGGAUGAUGAAUUAGAAUGAAAACAUGGGUUGUUACUGUGUGAUACUAAAGUAAGAAUAGACUAUACACAGGGAUGGAAGGAAUGUUUUAUUCCAAAGCAAAAAGAAUGGCUUGUGAAGACCUGCAAAUUGGCCAAAACAAACAAUCUGACAACAAUGUGGGCAAAUAUCAGUUGUAAUAUGUAUUAAUUCUAAGAGUGUUAUCAGAAGUAGAAGUGUGGCUAUAUUAUCCAAAGGGAGUAGAAUACUGAGAGAUAAAAAUUAACAGAUAGAAUGAGGCCUUUAGGCACGUCUCCCUGUCUGUUUUCUAGUUCAGUUGUGUGUCUAUGUAGGUAACUGUUUCGUUAGGCUGUUUCUGAUUUAGUUUUGUAUCUCAUGUAGUAGUUGGAUUGUCACCUUGACAUGGUGAGGGGGCUUGCUUGUUCCAAUGAACCUGCGGGCACAACCACUAGAGUCAUGCACUCCCAGGAGUGGCCACAGGGGAGGAUCCAGAUCAAUAAUAAUCCGAAGACCCAAAGACCUCAACGGCGGAGCAGACGGAGGAUAACAUGGUACAUGUUACAACGGCUGUGAAGGUGGAAGAAGGCUGCAACAGACUGAGAAGCCACUCUCGUUGUGUUAAUCAUAUCACUGCUGGGACCCCACUCUGUGAAGACUGUGUGUUGACCGGCCGUGCACCGUCCUCCACACAUUAAAAAAAAUCAUGCACAGGCGUCUUCCAAGAAAUGGAGGACAGUCAUCCUCGAACUACGAGGGAUCGCCUAAGUAAGUAAGUAAGUGAUUUCUUAUAUUUAACAUAGUCUAGAUCCCCAGUAUCCCUAAUUUGCAUCUAUUCCAACUUCCAGUUAAUCUUCUGUUGUCCUAUUUUUUUCAGCUGGUUUUAAAAUAUUCCAGUUCCUCUACCCACCUCCCACUUUUUCCUUUGUCCUCAGCUUAUUUCUGCUGCUGCAAAAACAGUUCAAAUAGAUUAAGUAGUGUUCACUCAAUUAACUCAGCAACAGGGAGUUGAGAGGAGGAGGUGAAGUCAUGCCCUUCCCAGUAGGUCAGUGGUUCUCAAUCUGGGGUCCCCAAAAGUUUUUGGCCUUCAGUUCCCAGAAAAUCUAACAGCUGAUAAACUGGCUGGGAUUUCUGGGAGUUAUAGAUCAAAAACAUCUGGAGACCCCAGGUAGAAAACCACUGCAGUAGGUGGUAGCAAGCAGCUGCUGCCUCUCCUUGUUCAUUUCUUUUCUUCCUCCUUAAUAAUGUUUGUCAUCUUGACUAUCCUCUGAUGUGUCCCAGUUUUCAACUUCUGAAAUGCUGGAGUGUGUACAGCAUGCCUCAAUUUGGAUUUGCAUGCAAAGAACUUCCAUUUCCCUCCUGAUGGUUCUCUCUUCUUCCACUCAUCUCUGUGCUACCAUGUAUACUUCUGCUCUUGUUAGUGGUUAGUGCAGAGCAGCACUCACUAAAAUCGAAACAGUCUCACAGAUGCAAACUUCUGCAAAACAAUGAUAGUUUCUGGAGAAAAGCAGCUGCUGCUACACAGUCAAGCAAUACACAUGUCUCCUAUGUCAAUAUAACAAUAUAAUAAAAUAUAAUACUAAUAUUAUGCUAUACUAAUAAUAUAUAUUGUAUAUACAUAUAAAUAUUGAUAAUAUUAUAAUGUAAUACAAUAUGAUAAUACACUAUUAUAAUUGUAAAUUAUAUGCUACAUGUAAUAUUACUAAUAACAUUACAGUAUAGUGGUAUAGUACAAUAUAGUAAUAUAUAAUGCUUAUAUUGUGCUAUGCUAAUAAUAUAAUACAUUGUGGGCCCCUGGUGGCACAGUGCGUUAAAGCGCUGAGCUGCUGAACUUGCGGACCAAAAGGUGCCAGGUUCAAAUCCGGGGAGCGGGAUGAGCGCCCGCUGUUAGCCCCAGCUCCUGCCAACCUAGCAGUUUGAAAAUAUGCAAAUGUGAGUAGAUCAAUAGGUACAGCUCCAGCGGGAAGGUAACGGCGCUCCAUGCAGCCAUGCCGGCCACAUGACCUUGGAGGUGUCUACGGACAAUGCCGGCUCUUCGGCUUAGAAAUGGAGAUGAGCACCAACCCCCAGAGUCGGUCACGACUGGACUUAACGUCAGGGGAAAACCUUUAUCUUUUUUAUGUACAUAUAACUUGUAAACCUCCCUGAGUCCCCUUCGGGGUGAGAAGGACGGGAUAUAAAUGUCGCAAAUAAAUAAAUAAGGUGACCCAGUGUCACAGAGCAAACAUAAAAAACAAUCCGCUGUUAGGAAAAGCUUGUUCCAUUUGUUCUCAAGUAUGUCCAUUUAAUUGUUUAUUGAAAAAGAUUUUACCCUACCUUUCUAGAAAGAAAAGGAAAAAAAAACACCAGUCUACCACACAUAAUAAUUGAGGUCAGGAUUUACAUUGAAAAUGACAGCUCUUCUUGAUCUUAGACUUGCAAGAAUGAAAACUGGAGAAAGUGUCAGCACCUUUAAUAAUUGUAUAAAAGAAGGGGUUCCCACAGGUGUUGCAUGUUAUGUGACCAUGUGAUGAGGAAGACUUGGUGAUAUUCCCAUUUUUACUCAACCACUAAAAGUACAGGAGUCGCCAGUUCUCAAUCUGACAGAGCUAUUCUGCUGAUCACAAUAUGUCCAUAGUGAAUACAACUGGAGAAUGCCAUCUGCAUACUCUUUUGUCUUCCACCUUUAUUCCAGGUUGGACAUAAGUAGUUUGAGCUGGUACUUCUUGAAUUUUGGUAGCCCAAGUAGUCAUUUUCUAACUUAAUAUGAGCUGAGCUGCACCAAGUGGCCUUUCAUAUUACACAAUUAUAGCACUAUGAUUCCACAUUAAAUGAAUGGUAGUGUCCCAUAUAAUCUUACGACUUGUAAUUUAAGGAGGGGAAUUUCUUAGCCAGAGAGCUCUAGUAUCUCCCUAAAUGACAAACCCUUGGAUUCUAAAGAACUCAGUCAUGGCAUUUAAUGUGGAAUCGCAGUGCUAUAAUGGUAUAGUGGGAAAGGGCCGGAUUGGCGAUAUAUAAGUGUGUUUGUACGUAUUCCAGAUGGGAAAUAUGGAGGUCUCUGGUCUUGUAAGAGCAGGGUAAGCACUUUUAAGUGCCACAGCCAUGAUCUGUAAGGCAGGGCAUCUAUUUAUUUAUUUUACUUUGUAUCCAUUUUCCCAUUCAAAUGGCCGAUGUAUGCAAGCCUGUCCACUAAAUACAAUCCUAACAUUAGGAAUGAGGUGAAAGUGAUUUUUUAAAAGGAAGGUGUGAAUACAAUUUGUAGUAAUCAAAAAACCCUACAGGAGGUGUAAAGGGGGUCAAGAGGACUAGUCCAGUCCCAGGUCUGGACUUUGUUAAUUCUUGGUGUACAGGGAGAUAAUGUGUUGAGUUUCCCUUGUUAGACAGACUACAGGUCAGUAAGCAUUAUGUGUUGACUGUCUCUGUGUCCUACUCUUUGGAUUCAUUUUUAUUCAAAUAGUAUAUCUCUAGUCUGAAUUUGUGUAGCUUUUAGUUUGAUCUUGUGCCCUUGCUUUCUUGAAUGUGUCUAUUUUAGGUUCAUUGAGUUUUCCAAAACUAGAACUGGAUGUUCAUUUGUACAUGCAACUGUUGCUUAAAAAUGCCUUGCUUGUAAAAGCUAUAAGAAAGAAGCUGAGAUUGCGUUGCCAGACUUGCACUUUAUUGCUGUGGCAUGCUGCGCCAUGCUGCGCCAUGACAACAGACUGAUAAACAAAUAGAUGUACCUUCCUGCAGUGCGAAACCUGUUUAAAGUUCACUUUAAGUGGCUUUCCCAGCAAGGCAAAAGAAACACCUACAAAGGCUGGGCAUAUUCCCUGUAUGUCAAACCAGUUCUUUCAUCACAAUGGCAUCCUUCUUUGCAAAUAAGUAUGCCUCUCAUAGAGAGAUGAUGAAACCUGUUUAUUUUUCUUUCUCUUACAUUCAACUUUUUUGAAGGUUCAUAUUUAUUCUAUCCAACACAUAAAAAUGUGUAAAUUUGGGAACCUAUUCAAAACUUGAAUGCAACAUUAAACCUUUCCAUUGGUAGUUGCCAACUUUAUUUAUUAAUUAUUUAUUUACAGCAUUUAUAUUCCGCCCUUCUCACCCCGAAGGGGACUCAGGGCGGAUCACAUUGCACACAAAGGCAAACAUUCAAUGCCAUAACAUAGAACAGAGACAGAGACAAGACGCAGGCAUGGGCUGGCCUCGAACUCAUGACCUCUUGGUCAGAGUGAUUUGUUGCAGCUGGCUUGCUAUCCAGCCUGCGCCACAGCCCGGCCUAAAUUCUACACCUAUGCAUGACAUUGAAGAGCGCCAUGUCGCAUUUGCCUUCUGUAUAGAUAUUAAAGUUGUGGAACAUCUGAGGGAAAAUAAAAAAUAGGAGCUUUGAUUGCGUACUGACAUGGCUGAAGAUACAAGGAUUUCUAUCGAAACAGUUUAAGACUUUUUGUGUUAAUCCCUUGGUUUGGGUGAAUGAAUCUAUUCCUUUUGGUUUUUGGCAAGUUCUUUUGAUAAAAGAACAAAAUAAAUAUAUCUCAUCCACCUAUACUGAGGGAGAAAAUUCCUUAAAACUUGGAUAUAUACAUGAAAUUAGAAGUGGCCACUAAAUUAUAUUGCUCACAGUUUCCUCUUAUGUGAAAAGGUAUGCAUUGUUAAUUGCUAGUCAUCAUUUUUAAAGACUAUGAGCCUAGCAGUUGUCACUCCUGGUAGGGGCAAGUGUUUCCCAAUUAAAAAUGGUAUGUUAUAUUUUAAAGAUAGUAAUGAGAGCAUUUCAUGUUGAAAACAGGAUGCUAUGUGUUGUAUAUUUUUAAAGCUAUGAAAAUCUUGGUGCAGGUUAACUGUCCCUUAUCUAGAAUUCUGAAAUCUGAAAUACUCCAGAAUCUGAAAUUGUCCACAUGGGUGGCUGAGAUAGUGACACUACUGAACAAAUUCUGUUUUAUACAUACAAUUAUUAAAAUAUUGUAUACUUUUAGCUUCAGAUUAUGUGUAUAGGGUGUAGAUGAAAAAUAAAUGAAUUUCAUGUUUAGACAUGGGUUCCAUCUCCAUAAUACCUCAUUAUAUAGGUACAGUAGAGCACCCGUCCAUGUGGACCCAACACCAGUAGUUUUAUCUACCUGCAUACAUCAAAAUAUGUUCUUUCUAGGAGUUUUCUAGGUCUUCCAGAGUAUGCUGUUAUUCAUGGUUUCCUGUUUCCAAGAUAAAUUAUGGAAUACAUCCCCUGCAUUCCAGGGGAAUUGCAUUUUAUAUGCAAAUAUAAACAUUUCAAAAUCCAAAAUCCUAACAGUUUGGUCCCAAGCAUUCAGAUAAGGGAUACUUAGCCUGUAACUGAAUAUUCAUAACAGAUGCCAGCAUGAUAUCGACAAGCAAAUGAAGGAAAUAAAAUAAGAAUAAAAAUGAUUUGUGCUUUAUGUGAAGGCACCCUUUCAAAAGAUCAUUAUCACUAUGCUGAAAAAAAAAGCUCCUGUUCCAAAUUAGGGGUGUGAAAAAUUCCGUUGGUUGAUUCAGAUUUCAGAUAAUUUUGGAGAUCCGGCAGCUGAGCCACCAGAAACGGACCAGGAAGGACCCCUUCAAAGUCUUCCUGGAAUGAAAAACAGACCGCCUAAUCUUUUGGCUAAAAAUUCAGGAAAGAUUAAUUGAUCAGGACUUAUUUUUCAUCAGUAUUCUGAAUGUCUGUUUUGCAAGCACAAGCAGCAAUAUCUCCGUGGUGGGGGCGAUGGGGCUGAGUGGCGAGCUGCAUCAUGUUUCUCAGUCAAUCAGAGGGCGGGUUCUGUCCAUUCUCCUCCCCUCUUGUGGCGCAAACUGCUUUGGAAUUCAAAUUCCAGAAAUCCCUGUUGUAGUUUUAAAAAAAGAUAUUGGCAAAAACUUAAACAUUUUCCCCAAAAUCAGAGAAUUAAUAAAACUUUCUGAAACUUGGGGGGCUUAUGUCAUCAAUGUGUCUUACAACAGUGCCAAGUUUAAUCCUGAUAACCAUAAAAAUGAUGGAGAAACCAGCCUCUAAAGUUUCCCCAUUGGCUCCAAUGUACCAAAUCCUACCAAAAAUAAAAUGGAACUCAGGGUUCUGAAUUUACGAAUCCGAACAGUCCCUCUCCUAAUUUCCCAGAAUCUUCCCGAAAAACAACUGGGUGGUGGGGGCCACCCAAAACUGAAAUGAAAAUAGAACUGAUUUCUGCUGUUUCGCACACCCCUAUUCCAAAUGUGUAUCUCUUAUCCCAAGUAACUUGCUUGAGAUACCAAAGGAAUUUACUGCAAAACAUUGUCUGAACUAUUACAACUCAUGAACCACAUAUUUGAUCUUUCAUGUGUUUACUCAGAUACAAUGCCCUGUGAUUUCAGGGGAUCUUUCUCUCAUAUAAUUGUGUACAUAGGAAUAAAAUCCCAGUGCAGUUAAUGGAGCUAUCUUUUAAGUAAGCUUGCAGCAGAUUUCUUGAUCAAAUGAAAUAACUCAAGCCUACUACCUUAGUUCUAUAAACAUCUGUGAUGACAUCUGUCAUCAAGCUGACAAUUGGAUUGUGGUUUAAAGGUCCACCCUUCCUUUUCAAGUGGCAGGGAGAUGCUGCAGUCUCAGCACUUGACUGGGAAAAGGAUAAUUUUGAAUCAUUCAGAGCUGCAAUUGCUUUAAAAAGAGAAAAGAAGAUGGAAACUGACAAAUGGAGUGAAUUUCUUUUAAACACAUAAAUAAAUGUCAACAAGAAUUCUCA